rnacentral:rRNA from 1 species
UUUAAUGGAGAGUUUGAUCCUGGCUCAGGAUGAAUGCUGGCGGCAUGCCUAAUACAUGCAAGUCGAGCGGUAGCAUGGCUUCACCGUUUCCUUGACUCACUUGGCCUUAUGCGAGUGGAUAGAUUCGAGGGAACCGUGAAGCUGAUGACGAGCGGCGGACGGCUGAGUAACGCGUGAGAACAUACCCCAAAGUGAGGGAUAACUAGUCGAAAGAUUAGCUAAAACCGCAUGUGAUCUUUGGAUUAAAGCAUUUAUGCGCUUUGGGAAUGGCUUGCGUACGAUUAGAUAGUUGGUGAGGUAAAGGCUCACCAAGUCGACGAUC